CCUACGGGUGGCUGCAGUGGGGAAUAUUGGACAAUGGGGGGAACCCUGAUCCAGCCAUGCCGCGUGUGUGAAGAAGGCCCUCGGGUUGUAAAGCACUUUCAGGGAGGAAGAACGCCUGGUGGUUAAUACCCAUCAGGAAAGACAUCACUCACAGAAGAAGCACCGGCUAACUCCGUGCCAGCAGCCGCGGUAAUACGGAGGGUGCGAGCGUUAAUCGGAAUUACUGGGCGUAAAGCGCGCGUAGGUGGCUUGAUAAGCCGGUUGUGAAAGCCCCGGGCUCAACCUGGGAACGGCAUCCGGAACUGUCAAGCUAGAGUGCAGGAGAGGAAGGUAGAAUUCCCGGUGUAGCGGUGAAAUGCGUAGAGAUCGGGAGGAAUACCAGUGGCGAAGGCGGCCUUCUGGACUGACACUGACACUGAGGUGCGAAAGCGUGGGUAGCAAACAGGAUUAGAUACCCUGGUAGUC
rnacentral:rRNA from 1 species